CCUGCAAGACAUGACUCCCAUGUGGCUCUUCCUCUUCCUGCUGGCAGCUCCCAGAUGUGUCCUGUCCCAGGUGCAGCUGCAGGAGUCGGGCCCAGGACUGUUGAAGCCCUCGCAGACCCUCUCCCUCACCUGCACUGUCUCUGGAUUCUCUAUCACAACCAGUGGUUAUGCCUGGAGCUGGAUACGUCAGCCCCCAGGGAAAGGGCUGGAGUGGAUGGGGAAUAUCUGGUAUGAUGAAGACACUUACUACAACCCAUCCCUCAAGAGCCGAACCUCCAUCUCCAGAGACGUGUCCAAGAACCAGUUCUCCCUGCAGCUGAGCUCCAUAAGCACCGAGGACACGGCCGUGUAUUACUGUGCA